rnacentral:rRNA from 1 species
GACGAACGCUGGCGGCGUGCCUAAUACAUGCAAGUAGAACGCUGAAGGUGGAGCUUGCUCUUCUGGAUGAGUUGCGCACGGGUGAGUAACGCGUAGGUAACCUGCCUGGUAGCGGGGGAUAACUAUUGGAAACGAUAGCUAACACCGAAUAACAGUAGAUGUUGCAUGACAUUUCCUUAAAAGGUGCAAUUGCACCACUAACAGAUGGACCUGCGUUGUAUUAGCUAGUUGGUGGGGUAACGGCUCACAAAGGAGACGAUACAUAGCCGACCUGAGAGGGUGAUCGGCCAAACUGAGACUGAGACACGGCCCAGACUCCUACGGGAGGCAGCAGGAGGGAAUCUUCGGCAAUGGACGGAAGGCUGACCGAGCAACGACGCGUGAGUGAAGGAGGUUUUCGGAUCGUAAAGCUCUGUUGUAAGUGAAGAACGAGUGUGAGAGUGGAAAGUGCACACUGUGACGGUAGCUUACCAGAAAGGGACGGCUAACUACGUG